ensembl:misc_RNA Metazoa_SRP Metazoan signal recognition particle RNA
GCCGGGCAUGGUGGCGUGUGCCUGUAGUCCCAGCUACUCAGGAGGCUGAGGUGGAAGGAUCACUUGAGCCCAGGAGGUCAAGGCUGCAAUGAGCUAUGAUCCCGUGCCACUGCACUCCAGCCUGGGCAACAGAGUGAGACCCUGUCUCAA